AGGAGUUCGUUAAAAUACAAGGCAUGCAAAUGACAAAAAUGAUGCAAAAUUUGCUCAUAAAAUUAAAAAUAACCGACUUCCUGUUGGGUUUCGGAUAUUGCUCCAAGAGUCUUUUUUGUAGGUACUGAUGCUUUACAUAUGUGUGCCAAUUUUCGUGCAUGUACGUGAAACACAGCUCGAGGGCUGUUGAUUUUUUUACGAUAGGUGGCGCUGUCGAGCCAUUUUGCCACACCCUCUUCUGAAACCUAUAUCAGAUGUAAAUUUUCACCAGGUCUGACGCGUGUGCAAAGUUUCAGGACUUUUCGAGCAUGUUUAGGCCCUCAAAAAUGCGAUUCAUUUUGGAGAAGAAGAAGAAGAAGAAGAAGAAGAAGAAGAAGAAGAAUAAUAAACAAAGCAGAUACAAUAGGGUCCUCACACCAUCGGUGCUCGGGCCCUAAUAAAUAUAGCUGCAAGCAGCAAUGGCGGGCUCAAGCCAUCAGCGCAAACGCCACCCCGGUGGCAUCAGGU
ensembl:lncRNA